rnacentral:piRNA from 1 species
AGACGUCAGGAUCAGCAGAGGAAAAGC